rnacentral:SRP_RNA from 1 species
GCUGGGCACGAUGAUGCGUGCCUGUAAUCCUAGCUACUUGGAGGCUGAGGCAGGAGAAUUGCUUGAAUCCGGGAGUCGGAGGUUGCAGUGAGCCGAGAUCAUGCCACUGCACUCCAACCUGGGUGACAGAGCAAGACUCUGUCUUGG